rnacentral:ribozyme from 1 species
ACUUCAAUCGCGAACUAACAGAACCUCUUUUCCCUUCCGAUAAGACAGUCCAUAAACUCACGCUCUUUCCACCACCACCAUCAGACGAUGAUACUAAAGACGAAAGAAGAA